UACGUAGGGUGCGAGCGUUAAUCGGAAUUACUGGGCGUAAAGCGUGCGCAGGCGGUUUGCUAAGACCGAUGUGAAAUCCCCGGGCUUAACCUGGGAACUGCAUUGGUGACUGGCAGGCUAGAGUAUGGCAGAGGGGGGUAGAAUUCCACGUGUAGCAGUGAAAUGCGUAGAGAUGUGGAGGAAUACCGAUGGCGAAGGCAGCCCCUGGGCCAAUACUGACGCUCAUGCACGAAAGCGUGGGGAGCAAACAGG
rnacentral:rRNA from 1 species